UUCGGUGGCAAUAGCGGAGGGGAAACACCUGUUUCCAUUUCGAACACAGCAGUUAAGCCCUCCAGCGCCCAUGGUACUGCGGGGGCGACCCCGUGGGAGAGUAGGUCGCUGCCGAAA
rnacentral:rRNA from 1 species